rnacentral:rRNA from 1 species
CUUAACACAUGCAAGUCGAGGGGUAGCGGGAAGUUAGCUUGCUAACUUUGCCGGCGACCGGCGCACGGGUGAGUAACGCGUAUCCAACCUUCCCCUUAGUAGGGCAUAGCCCGUAGAAAUGCGGAUUAAUACCCUAUGUUAUUCGUCGAUGACAUCUGAAGUGAAUCAAAGGUUUACCGCUAAGGGAUGGGGAUGCGUCUGAUUAGGCAGCAGGCGGGGUAACGGCCCACCUGGCCGACGAUCAGUAGGGGUUCUGAGAGGAAGGUCCCCCACAUUGGAACUGAGACACGGUCCAAACUCCUACGGGAGGCAGCAGUGAGGAAUAUUGGUCAAUGGUCGAGAGACUGAACCAGCCAAGUAGCGUGCAGGAUGACGGCCCUAUGGGUUGUAAACUGCUUUUAUGCGGGGAUAAAGUGAGGGACGUGUCCCUUUUUGUAGGUACCGCAUGAAUAAGGACCGGCUAAUUCCGUGCCAGCAGCCGCGGUAAUACGGAAGGUCCGGGCGUUAUCCGGAUUUAUUGGGUUUAAAGGGAGCGCAGGCGGAGGCUUAAGCGUGACGUGAAAUGUAGCCGCUCAACGGCUGAGUUGCGUCGCGAACUGGGUUUCUUGAGUGAGUGCGACGUCAGCGGAAUUCGUGGUGUAGCGGUGAAAUGCUUAGAUAUCACGAAGAACCCCGAUUGCGAAGGCAGCUGACGAGCCCUUUACUGACGCUAAAGCUCGAAGGUGCGGGUAUCGAACAGGAUUAGAUACCCUGGUAGUCCGCACGGUAAACGAUGGAUGCCCGCUGUUGGCGAUAUACAGCCAGUGGCCAAGCGAAAGCGUUAAGCAUCCCACCUGGGGAGUACGCCGGCAACGGUGAAACUCAAAGGAAUUGACGGGGGCCCGCACAAGCGGAGGAACAUGUGGUUUAAUUCGAUGAUACGCGAGGAACCUUACCCGGGCUUGAACUGCAGCAGACGAUAGAGAGAUCUUGAGGCCCUUCGGGGCUGCUGUGGAGUGCUGCAUGGUUGUCGUCAGCUCGUGCCGUGAGAUGUCGGCUUAGUGCAUAACGAGCGCAACCCCUUCGUCAGUUGCAUCAAGUGAUGCUGGGCCUCCGCGACCUGCCCCGCAGGGGUGAGAAGAGGGGGAUAACUUCAAUCAACACGCCGUACUCGGCUUACACAGUGUUCAAUGGGGAGAUCAGAGUAGGGCUGCACCGCCUUAUCAUAGCUCUCAUCGAAUGGGUCGACGACCUGACGAUUCGUAUUCGCCAUGACAUGCCGGUACUCGGUCUGAC